rnacentral:rRNA from 1 species
UCUGGUGGCCAUAGCGAGGUGGUCCCACGCCUUCCCAUCCCGAACAGGACCGUGAAACGCCUUAGCGCCGAUGAUAGUGUGGCAUUCGCCAU